GAUGAAGAACGUAGCGAAAUGCGAUAAGUAGUGUGAAUUGCAGAAUUCAGUGAAUCAUCGAAUCUUUGAACGCACCUUGCGCCCUUUGGCUAUUCCGAAGGGCAUGCCUGUUUGAGUAUCGUGAACACCUCAACUCUCAUGGUUUGCCAUGAUGAGCUUGGACUUGGGGGUUUUGCUGGCCUUCGGUCGGCUCCUCUCAAACGGAUCAGCUUUCCAGUGUUUGGUGGCGUCACGGGUGUGAUAACUAUCUACGCCUGUGGUUUUCUGCCAGAUAACCUUCAGCGAUGGAGGUUCGCUGGGGCUCAUAAAUGUCUCUCUUCAGUGGAGACAGCUUUUUGGACGUUUGAUCUCAAAUCAGGUAGGACUACCCGCUGAACUUAAGCAUAUCAAUAACGGAGGA
rnacentral:misc_RNA from 1 species